GACGAACGCUGGCGGCGUGCCUAAUACAUGCAAGUCGAACGCAGUGGGGACGGGUGAGUACCACGUGGGUAACCUCCCAUCAGAGGGGAUAACACUUGGAAACAGGUACUCAACCGAUCCUGAUGGAUGGACCGUCGGUGCAUUAGCUGGUUGGGGAGGUAACGGCUCACCAAGGCCACGAUGCAUAGCCGACUUGAGAGAGCGACCGGCCAGACUGGGACUGAGACACGGCCCAGACUCCUACGGGAGGCAGAAGUGGGGAAUAUUGCGCAAUGGGCGCAAGCCUGACCCAGCAAUGCCGCGUGAGUGAAGAAGGUUCUCGGAUCGUAAAGCUCUUUUGUUAGAGAAGCGUUAUCGAACCAGAAAGCACCGGCUAACUACGUGCCAGCAGCCGCGGUAAUUC
rnacentral:rRNA from 1 species